GCCAAAAGCAAUCCCGAGAUGAAGUCU
rnacentral:piRNA from 1 species